GAGAAUAUAAGUUAGUUUGUUACAAAUUGGUUGUAGUACAGUUAGUUAGAGUUAGUUACAGAGAAGUCAGAAUUUGUACAGUUUGUUAGCUAGCUUUCAGUUUGUGUAUCUAUAUAUAUAUAUAGAAUCACAUGUAAUAGUUACUCUCUUAAUUCACAUUCAAUGAAACAGAUUUUUCAUGUAGCUUUUCCAGAAUCUUCUUCUUCUCUCAUAUGAACUCAAUGUUCAUCAAUGGAGGAAUUCGAUUGUUUAGCAGCAUAGUAUGUUGAUUUUCUCAUGGUAUCAGAGCCAGAUCCAUCCCAAUUUGUUGUUCACCGAUGUUGGUCCCCCAUUUAGAAGUGUUCACACUCCAAUUGAGGUCUGGGUGUGCGGGAGAGUGUUAAGAAGUCCUACAUCGGCAGAAGGAUGAGAAUUUGAUCUCCUUAUAUGGACUUGGACAAACCUCCCCUCAUGAGCUAGCAUUUAGGGUUGACUUAGGCUCAGGUGCCAUAUCUUUACAUUUUGUAGUUUUUGGAAUUUUUUUAAAGACUUUAUAAGUCUUUAUUUUAUGGUUUUAGUGUUUAAUGAUGUUUAUUAUGAUAUUGUAUGUACAUGCUUAGUUGUUUGGUUUGUUUGAAAUGGUUGGAUCAAAUAUAUAUUGAAUUGUAUUUUAAUUGCAGGUGGAUAGUUUCUGUUGUCAAAAAAAUACAGAAAAGUGACAGACAUGGUUACUUUUGUGCGUCCCUUUUCUGAAAUGUUUUUUGAAUUUGCUUUUUUCAUAUUAAAGAACAAAGCAACGGACGGUGUCACAUUUUUAAAAAAAAUUAAAAAAAUUGUAACACCGUCUAACACUUUCUUCUUCAGAUUGAAGAACAAAGCGAUGGACAAUGUAAGGCACGUAACAGAUUAUGAAGCUCGUGAGCCCCUUUAAUUUCCAGAAAUCAGCUACGAGUUCAAAAUUUUUUCACAAUUGCAGUACACUAGGCAAGGCACGUAACAGAUUAUGA
rnacentral:lncRNA from 1 species